rnacentral:rRNA from 1 species
AUUGAACGCUGGCGGCAUGCCUAACACAUGCAAGUCGAACGGUAACGACGGGAGCUUGCUCCCGGGCGACGAGUGGCGGACGGGUGAGUAAUACUUAGGAAUCUGCCCAGUAGUGGGGGACAACUCGAGGAAACUCGAGCUAAUACCGCAUACGCCCUACGGGGGAAAGCGGGGGAUCUUCGGACCUCGCGCUAUUGGAUGAGCCUAAGUCGGAUUAGCUUGUAGGUAGGGUAACGGCCUACCUAGGCGACGAUCCGUAGCUGGUCUGAGAGGACGAUCAGCCACACUGGAACUGAGACACGGUCCAGACUCCUACGGGAGGCAGCAGUGGGGAAUAUUGGACAAUGGGCGCAAGCCUGAUCCAGCAAUGCCGCGUGUGUGAAGAAGGCCUGCGGGUUGUAAAGCACUUUCAGUGGAGAAGAAAAGCCUACGGUUAAUAACCGUGAGUCUUGACGUAACCCACAGAAGAAGCACCGGCUAACUCCGUG